rnacentral:ncRNA from 2 species
UACAUUUGUCAACUUUUUGGUUCCUGAGUUUGAUAAAAUAUCAAACCGGAUUAAAUGGGAAUCAGGUGAAAAUCCUGGACAUUUCCCGAUGCUGUAAGUUCUUAUUAGUUUAAAGUUUAUUUUUUAAUUUUCUGGUUGUUAGACCUGAAAAACAAAAAACAAAACAAAAUUCUAAUAUUUUUUUUAACAUUCUUAGCCACUGUCUUGAAUCGAAUAAAGAUUCUUUAAAGAUGGGAAGGCGUUAAAAACAGAACAAGUCAGAAGACCUGCCAAAGAAAUUAACAUUUG